rnacentral:rRNA from 1 species
CCUACGGGAGGCUGCAGUGGGGAAUAUUGGACAAUGGACGAAAGCCUGAUCCAGCCAUGCCGCGUGUGUGAAGAAGGUCUUCGGAUUGUAAAGCACUUUAAGUUGGGAGGAAGGGCAGUAAGCUAAUACCUUGCUGUUUUGACGUUACCGACAGAAUAAGCACCGGCUAACUUCGUGCCAGCAGCCGCGGUAAUACGAAGGGUGCAAGCGUUAAUCGGAAUUACUGGGCGUAAAGCGCGCGUAGGUGGCUCGUUAAGUGGGAUGUGAAAGCCCCGGGCUCAACCUGGGAACUGCAUCCAAAACUGGCGAGCUAGAGUACGGUAGAGGGUUGUGGAAUUUCCUGUGGAGCGGUGAAAUGCGUAGAUAUAGGAAGGAACAACAGUGGCGAAGGCGACCACCUGGACUGAUACUGACACUGAGGUGCGAAAGCGUGGGGAGCAAACAGGAUUAGAUACCCCUGUAGUC